UACGGGGGGGGCAAGCGUUGUUCGGAAUUACUGGGCGUAAAGGGCUCGUAGGUGGCCAACUAAGUCAGACGUGAAAUCCCUCGGCUUAACCGGGGAACUGCGUCUGAUACUGGAUGGCUUGAGGUUGGGAGAGGGAUGCGGAAUUCCAGGUGUAGCGGUGAAAUGCGUAGAUAUCUGGAGGAACACCGAUGGCGAAGCAGCCCCCUGGGCUAGCACUGACGCUCAGGCACGAAAGCGUGGGGAGCAAACAGGG
rnacentral:rRNA from 1 species